UCUGACAUCCAGGCUGCACUGGACUCUCCACCGCCCGAGGUUUGGGGGGGUUUGAAUCUCCAGGCGCGGGGACAGUGAUUCAGAACUUCCUGCAGGAGCUGUCAGACUCUGGACGUCGCUGCCCAGAGCCUUGCAGUGACGCUGUGACGACGGUCGGUUCACAGCUCCUGAGGAAAUACUGAUCUGGCAAAGGGAAGUUUGCUUCGCCUUUGUUUUUGUUUUUGUUUUUGUUUUUGUUUUUGUUUUCGCCUGGAGAGCCCUCUGCCAACUCCGGAGGUAGGCCUCCGGUCCCAAUCGCGGCCACGGGAGCGGCUUUUUUCUUUUUUUUUUUCUAUGGACUGGGAGAGAGCGAGCGAAAGCACCCCCCAGGGAGGAUGACGACCCCACACUUGAGCCGAAGUAGACAUUACAGAGCUCGUUGCUCCGCUGCUGAGCUCAGUACCCAGUGCUAAGUCAACUUUGGCCUCCGGAAUCGGGUCUCACCAGGCGCUUUGCAGUGGCAUUUACUUGCCCACUCCCAGCCCCCUCUCCAGAAGGCAGUAAGAACUUCCAGGAGUGUCUCACUGAGUAUGAGCUGCGUGUCGGCAGUGGCAGCAUGCAGAGGAUUCUGAGCUCGGGAUCUUCACGGUGUGUACACUGACAGUGAGAAGUCACAGUGUGUGAAGUGUGAUGGGGAUUCACAAACAGACUCACACACCGGAGCUGCAAACUCGAAGACCCUCAUUAGUUCAUGGAACACCAAGAAGUGUAUGGCCCUACGUGAGGGAGAGUCCAAGAAGUUUUCCCACAGAUGUCAGCCUCGGACGGGAAGAGACCACAGUACUGCAGAUUCUGCCUGGGGGGUUGUCUCAGGAAAGGAAGAGAGAGCAGAGGAAAAGCAUACCUUCUUUUCACUGCCUUUGACUGGAAAUGACACCACACUUCCGCUCACAUCCCAUGGUCCUACGUCGAUAUAAGUGACCUAGGAACUAGAUUUGCUGGUUUUUUAGGAGAGAAUAAGUCAGAUCUGAAGACAUCUCCUGAAAGUGUCACAUUCCCCAACAGCCCCACGAGUCUACAGCACUCCCCCCUCACUCACCAUGGAGGAGUGACAAGGAGAGUCUGUCUCCUCUGAGAGACGUGAAUUAGAGUGCUAGAUCGGCAGCUUGCUGAAAGGAAAUGAGGGCACCAUUUUCAAAAGGAGAAAGAGGGAAUGGCGGAAGCGUGUGAACAGCGGAAGCCUGCUACGACGAGGCACCUGUGACCCCACUCGGCAGACACGCGUAUCAGCUUUACCUAUUGCUAGUGAGAUAGGGUGGAAAUUUGUGCAGGACCUACAAGACCGAAAAGCUUGCUGAACUGACAUAGGAAUCGAUGAAUCGGAGCUGUGGUUGUCGUGUUAAUGUAACUGUGGGAUGCUCUGCUGGGCAAGAUGUCAUCGUGUGAGGCAGCAGACGGGGCUUGGAGCCAAAGCCACCUGACUGUGAGCUCGUGUGCCACAAUUUAUCAGCAGUACGAUUUGCAACGGUUCCUUAAAGUCAUUGAACUUCAGUGUCUUUAUGCCUUCCCCACUCAGAAAGACGUGUUCAUGCCGAGCUGGUCCUGGCAAAGUGGCGCCCAACGUGGGGCCUGAGUACGGGG